rnacentral:rRNA from 1 species
AGAGUUUGAUCCUGGCUCAGAAUCAACGUUGGCGGCGCGCUUAACACAUGCAAGUCGAACGAGAAAGUGGAGCAAUCCAUGAGUACAGUGGCGUACGGGUGAGUAACACGUGGGUAUCUACCUCUUAGUGGGGAAUAACCCUGGGAAACCGGGGCUAAUACCGCAUAAGCCUGAAAGGGGAAAGUCGAAAGACGCUGAGAGAGGAGCCCGCGGCUGAUUAGCUAGUUGGUGGGGUAAAGGCUCACCAAGGCAAAGAUCGGUAGCCGGCCUGAGAGGGCACACGGCCACACUGGCACUGAAACACGGGCCAGACUCCUACGGGAGGCAGCAGUGGGGAAUCUUGCACAAUGGGGGAAACCCUGAUGCAGCGACGCCGCGUGAGCGAUGAAGCCCUUCGGGGUGUAAAGCUCUUUCGACGGGAACGAUAAUGACGGUACCCGGAGAAGAAGCUGCGGCUAACUACGUGCCAGCAGCCGCGGUAAUACGUAGGCAGCAAACGUUGUUCGGAAUUACUGGGCGUAAAGAGUGUGUAGGCGGUUGGGUAAGUUUGGUGUGAAAUCUCCCGGCUUAACUGGGAGGGUGCGCCGAAAACUGCCUGGCUUGAGUACUGGAGAGGAUAGCGGAAUUCCUGGUGUAGCGGUGAAAUGCGUAGAUAUCAGGAGGAACACCUGCGGUGUAGACGGCUAUCUGGACAGUAACUGACGCUGAGACACGAAAGCGUGGGGAGCAAACAGGAUUAGAUACCCUGGUAGUCG